AAGCAAGGCAUGUGUGCUAUUGAAGGUUGAAGUGCUUAUGUGAGGAAACUCCUUCAAAAAACCCACAGAAAUGAAAAUCUAAAUAAUUGUAUCUGUCAAACCCAGCACAGAGAUGAACACCCUUCAGGCUCUCUGCUGCUCCGUGCUCGGGAAUUCAUCUUCAUUACCUUUGCAGAGGACAGUCUGCAACUCCUAAUUAGAAGAUGGAAUUUUUGGUUCUUACUGGUCUCAGCCUGUAUUUGUAAACUAUGUAGCACUUCUGAGACCACAGGUGGAAUACUGGGUCCAGUUUGGGGUUUUCCCAAUACAAGACACACGUUGGCAAACUACACUGAGUCCAGCAGAAGGCCAACAAGACGGUUACAAGGGAUCUCCAGAGGUCCCUUCCAACUUAAAUUAGUCCACGAUUCUGCAAACGAGCAGCUGUGAAAGAAGUGGAAGAGAAGGAACACUGAUUCUUUGAGCCAGGAUUGUUGCUAAAGCCCUUGUGUUGUGAAAAUACAGCCCCAGGUUCUCCAGAGCAGAAGAGUGUUAGCUUUCAUAUGCAGUAAUUGAUUACAAAAUACUUCACCCCCUUCUCCAGGAGAAACUGAGCUGCUGCUAAUUAUGGAGAUUACAUCAAGAAAGAUGAGCUAAAGGGAGGGAAGACAGGAUUUCAAUUUUAGAAAGACUGAAAAAUCAGAGGCCUCACAAGAGAAAUCUGAACAAACAGGUGGGAGACAGAAGCAGCAAACCUACUGCUCUAAACUGAUAAGCCCAGCAGAAAGUCAGUGGGAUUUAAUCUGCUCCUAUCAUUCUUCAUUUUUUUUACACAAUUAAACUCUAUAUUGCAAUGGAAGUUUUUGUCAGAUGUCUGAAAAGUCUACCUGCAUUGCAACUGCAUAAAGAGUUUAAUAAAAAUUAGUGAAUAAACAAAGUAAUU